UACGUAGGGUGCAAGCGUUAAUCGGAAUUACUGGGCGUAAAGCGUACGCAGGCGGCUUUGCAAGACAGGUGUGAAAUCCCCGGGCCUAACCUGGGAACUGCAUUUGUGACUGCAUGGCUAGAGUCUGUCAGAGGGGGGUGGAAUUCCACGUGUAGCAGUGAAAUGCGUAGAUAUCUGUAAGAAUACCCGUGGCGAAGGCGGCCGACUGGGCCGAAUCUGACGCUGAGGCGCGAAAGCGUGGGGAGCAAACAGG
rnacentral:rRNA from 1 species